UCUCCGUUGGUGAACCAGCGGAGGGAUCAUUACCGAAGUUACCUUCAAAACCCACUGUGAACCUUACCUCUUGCCGCGUUGUCUCGGCGGGAGGCGGUGUGCGUCGCCCGCCCUAGCGGGCCGCGCCGCUCCCGUCCCCGCCGGCAGCGCCAAACUCUAAAUGCACAGCGGACUGUACGUUCUGAUUUACAAAAAAAACAAGUUAAAACUUUCAACAACGGAUCUCUUGGUUCUG
rnacentral:misc_RNA from 1 species